ACACCUCAACUCUCAUGGUUUGCCAUGAUGAGCUUGGACUUUGGGGGUUUUGCUGGCCUAUGGUUGGCUCCUCUCAAAUGAAUCAGCUUGCCAGUGUUUGGUGGCGUCACAGGUGUGAUAACUAUCUACGCUUGCGAUUGCCCACCAGGUAACCUUCAGCAAUGGAGGUUCGCUGGGGCUCAUAGACGUCUCUCCUCAGCGAGGACAGCUUUUGAAC
rnacentral:misc_RNA from 1 species